GACGAACGCUGGCGGCGUGCUUAACACAUGCAAGUCGAACGGAAAGGCUCCAGCUUGCUGGAGUACUCGAGUGGCGAACGGGUGAGUAACACGUGGGUAAUCUGCCCUGCACUCUGGGAUAGGCCUGGGAAACUGGGUCUAAUACUGGAUAUGACCUUUCUCCUUAUGGGGUUUGGUGGAAAGUUUUUCGGUGUAGGAUGAGCCCGCGGCCUAUCAGCUUGUUGGUGGGGUGAUGGCCUACCAAGGCGACGACGGGUAGCCGGCCUGAGAGGGUGAUCGGCCACAUUGGGACUGAGAUACGGCCCAGACUCCUACGGGAGGCAGCAGUGGGGAAUAUUGCACAAUGGGCGGAAGCCUGAUGCAGCGACGCCGCGUGAGGGAUGACGGCCUUCGGGUUGUAAACCUCUUUCAGCAGGAACGAAGCGUAAGUGACGGUACCUGCAGAAGAAGCACCGGCUAACUAUGUG
rnacentral:rRNA from 1 species